GACAGAGGUGCCAAGCGUUAGGCGGAAUCACUGGGCUUAAAGCGUGUGUAGGCGGAUCGUUAAGUACCUUGUGAAAUCCCACGGCUCAACCGUGGAACUGCUGGGUAUACUGGCGAUCUUGAGCCACCUAGGGGCGAGCGGAACAAGCGGUGGAGCGGUGAAAUGCGUAGAUAUCGCUUGGAACGCCAAUGGUGAAAACAGCUCGCUGGGGGUGUGCUGACGCUGAGGAGCGAAAGCAUGGGGAGCGAACAGG
rnacentral:rRNA from 1 species